CAGCAGCCGCGGGAAUACGAAGGGGGCUAGCGUUGCUCGGAAUUACUGGGCGUAAAGGGCGCGUAGGCGGACAAUUAAGUCGGGGGUGAAAGCCCGGGGCUCAACCUCGGAAUUGCCUUCGAUACUGGCUGUCUUGAGUGUGGGAGAGGUGUGUGGAACUCCGAGUGUAGAGGUGAAAUUCGUAGAUAUUCGGAAGAACACCAGUGGCGAAGGCGACACACUGGCUCACUACUGACGCUGAGGAGCGAAAGCGUGGGGAGCGAACAGGAUUAGAUACCCCCGUAGUCCCUGUCUCUUAUAC
rnacentral:rRNA from 1 species